UGGUGCAGUCUGGCACUGAUGGCUGUU
rnacentral:piRNA from 1 species